AGCAAGUGCAAUAGAGAGAAGUUGGUCAACCAAAAGGUCGAGCAAGGGAUUAACCGAGAGGUUAAAGAGUAGAAGUCUUUCAAACUAUUGCCUAGGCGAGGUAAAAGGCAAGGGCUAUUAGCUCAGCUGGUUAGAGCGCACCCCUGAUAAGGGUGAGGUCUCUGGUUCAAGUCCAGAAUGGCCCACCUAACCAAAAAAGCCAAAGAGAAGGAUAAAUCCUUCAGCAUCCUGUCUGAUGAGAGUCAGAGGGAAUGCUGGAUGUAAGUCCAGUAAGGACCUUGAAAACUGCAUAAAGAAAAGAGAAAGCAGGGAAAAUCUUGCUUUUCCUAACCGUUUUGAUGUUAACCACAAGGCUUUUGGCUGAGUGUGAGACUGAAGGGCGGUGAAGGUAGGAGGAAAGAUGAUCCUAGUUAGCAAAAAGAAGAUCUUAAAAAGGUCAAGCUACAAAGGGCUAACGGUGGAUACCUAGCCACACAGAG
rnacentral:tRNA from 1 species